rnacentral:rRNA from 1 species
AGCGUAGACGGCAUAACAAGUCUGAUGUGAAAGGCUGGGGCUUAACCCCGGGACUGCAUUGGAAACUGUUAAGCUUGAGUGCCGGAGGGGUAAGCGGAAUUCCUAGUGUAGCGGUGAAAUGCGUAGAUAUUAGGAGGAACACCAGUGGCGAAGGCGGCUUUCUGGACUGUAACUGACGUUGAGGCUCGAAAGUGUGGGUAGCAAACA